rnacentral:rRNA from 1 species
UACGUAGGGCGCAAGCGUUGUCCGGAAUUAUUGGGCGUAAAGAGCUCGUAGGCGGCCUGUCGCGUCUGCUGUGAAAUCCCGGGGCUUAACCCCGGGCGUGCAGUGGAUACGGGCUGGCUGGAGGCAGGCAGGGGAGAAUGGAAUUCCCGGUGUAGCGGUGAAAUGCGCAGAUAUCGGGAGGAACACCGGUGGCGAAGGCGGUUCUCUGGACAGUUCCUGACGCUGAGGCACGAAGGCCAGGGGAGCAAACGGG